rnacentral:rRNA from 1 species
CCCAGACUCCUACGGGAGGCAGCAGUGGGGGAUAUUGCGCAAUGGGGGGAACCCUGAUGCAGCGACGCCGCGUGGGUGAAGGAGCGUUUCGGCGCGUAAAGCCCUAUCGGCAGGGAAGAAGGAGGACGGUACCUGACUAAGAAGCCCCGGCUAACUACGUGCCAGCAGCCGCGGUAAUACGUAGGGGGCAAGCGUUAUCCGGAUUUACUGGGUGUAAAGGGGGCGCAGACGGCAGCGCAAGCCAGGAGUGAAAGCCCGGGGCCCAACCCCGGGACUGCUCUUGGAACUGCGCGGCUGGAGUGCAGGAGGGGCAGGCGGAAUUCCUGGUGUAGCGGUGAAAUGCGUAGAUAUCAGGAGGAACACCGGUGGCGAAGGCGGCCUGCUGGACUGCGACUGACGUUGAGGCCCGAAAGCGUGGGGAGCAAACAGGAUUAGAUACCCCGGUAGAC